UCGGAUCCCAGGGCCGCGAGCCGGGUGAGGCGCAAAGCGAAAGGGGCUUCCCCUCGGUGGGUGUCUGGUAAAAGACUACGUGUCGCUGGCCGAGGUAUUUGUUUGCUGUCUUUGGCAUGAACCACUAGGAAGAACUGGAUUUAGUUCUUACGGGAGGCCGGAGGGACGAGGUAGUAAGUGAACCAGAAACGGUGAGAAAAUAUCUGUGCAUGCUCUGAAGAGGAAACUUGGGCCCUUCUAUUCCAUAUCAUCACAGACUUUCAAAAGGAGGCUCAGUAAUCAUACCUGUGUCUCAUCAUUGACAACUAAAUGGUUGUGUUGUUCCAUCUGUCUGCUCACUUAUUUUGUGUCUCCAUUACCCUGAAAUCAAUACUGCUAUUUGUACACGGGAUACAGUUUCCUGGCAACACACAUCUUGAACCAA